AUACGUAGGGGACGAGCGUUGUCCGGAAUUACUGGGCGUAAAGGGCGCGCAGGCGGAUAUUUAAGUCAGCUGUAAAAGGCAUGAGCUCAACUCAUGUAUGCGGUUGAAACUGGGUAUCUAGAGUGCUGGAGAGGUAGGCGGAAUUCCCGGUGUAGCGGUGAAAUGCGUAGAUAUCGGGAAGAACACCAGUGGUGAAGGCUGCUUACUGGCCAGCAAGUAACGCUGAGGCGCGAACGCCAGGGCAGCGAACGGGAUUAGAUACCCCGGUCGUCCUGUCCGUAAACGAUGUAUGCUAGGUGUUGGUGUCGAGAGGCAUCCGUGCCGGAGUUAACGCGAUAAGCAUUCCGCCUGGGGAGUACGAUCGCAAGAUGGAAACUCAAAGGAAUUGACGGGG
rnacentral:rRNA from 1 species